AUGCAUCGCGUGUUUCGCAAUGUGCUUCUGCCCAAGGUGGGGAAUCAAGAUGAAAUCCAUGGCUAUCUUGUUGACUUGAUGGUUGCAAUGAAGACCAAGGUGGGAUCUGGGGAGACGUUUGAUGUGUCCAACUGGCUGUGGCACGAGAUGUACAACAUGGUCAUCUACAUGAAGGUCCCCAUUUAUGCUCCUUUUGUCAUGUGCUUUCUGAACUCAGUGUGGGAGGUUCGCCGUCCUGGAGAGCCUCUCUCCUCUCCUGAUAAUCUCACUAUUCAUGAAGUCAAGCUCCUUAAGAAGAAGAAGCACGCCGAUCCUCGUUUCCCUGCUGAUGCUCCUGAGGAUGUCUAUGCCACCUCUGACGAUGAGGAUUUUGAGUUGGAGCCAGGGGCCCAGCCCUCGUGGGUGGACAAGCUCGCUGCCAAGGUGAAGAAGACUUUCUGCCUUCAGUCUGACAUCUAG
rnacentral:rRNA from 1 species